rnacentral:lncRNA from 1 species
GGAAGGUAAUUUGCUUUUUAACACUUUCUCCCUGACUGAGUGUAAGUAUCGUGGUUUUUAGCAAGGUUUUUUUUUUGGGGGGGGGGAUGGGCUUGAGAGCUAUACAAACAAAUCCUUUAUGAUCUUUUACAUUUAUUCUUUUCCUCCAGGAAUGUGCUGAGGUUUCCAGAUAGUCGUGUGAUGAUGACCAAAUUGGAUGGCGAAUGGGAACUUCUCAACAGCAGGUACUGGCCAGCCAGCAGGACAUGGGCUUGUCCCAUGGCAGCAGAAUGUUGCUCUGUAGGCCAAUAGCAAGGCUGGGAAAUGGCCUGAUCUGAACAGGAGCCAGUGCUGACUGCACCGCGCGCUGCCAUCCCCAGGCAAGCCCUGCCCUCACUGCUGAACUUGCAGAGCUGCUCAGACAAAGGCUCCCUGUUGACUCUGGGCAUAGACCUCCCACAACUACAAGAUAAAACAGAGGGAGAUGAACACAUGUUGGAAGCUAAGCAAAUAACUUGGGGGAUAAUACCUUUAAAUGCUUAUAUAUAUAUAGAUCCUGACCUUUUAAACUUCAAUUUUGAGUUCAAUUAGCAGGAAGUCUGCCAAAUAACUUGUACAGGGAGAGGGACCGGGGAACCUCAGAGCCACACUGACUGCGGAGGGUGCUAUGGAUGAGUGAAACUGAAAUCAUGGUUUCUUCCUCUACUCCCAGCCUUCUUGGUGACCUGCUACAAAUCUGAAGCAAGAAGUUUUGUCAUAACAACAAUCGAAGAGAUACAGUGGGCCUGACACUGUUUUUUAUGAGUUGUCAUCUUUAUACCUUUGAAUUGGAAAUGAAUCUAUAACCUAUUAGGCUAACAGAAAAUUGUUACAGGUUUAUGUUAAGAUAACAAAAAGCAAGCAUUUUGGAGUUAUCAGAUAAGAAGGGCUAAGUAUCUAUAAAAUAUCGUCAAUAUAAUGUUGAAUUACGCAGUAGAUUAUUUUUAUUAUCUUUACAAUGACCUUAUAUUUAUUCCAAAAAAGGAAAUAUAAAAGAAAGAAAGAAGAAAGGGAAAAGUUUCCAGUUACUAUCAUCUUAUAUAUCUGAAGUUGAAUUACUGGAAUGUUAAAUAUAAUUACAUUGCUAUGUAAGCGAACUUAACUUCAAUGUACCUGCAUUUUCCCUGGGGAGAAUGGUAUUUAGACCAUCACACAAUAACCAGCUAGUUCAAGUCUGUUUUGGAAACCAGCAAAUAGCACAAAGAAGUGCUGGGUCAGAGAAACAGGACAGGGAAGUAUGAAUGGGAGAGCACUGGUCCACGUGAUACCCUCUCUGCCCCUCCUCCUAGCCCUCUGCUAA